rnacentral:snRNA from 1 species
AUGUCUUCUGUUUGUGUCUCUCUCUCGGAGUGAUGUUGUGAUCUGUUCUUAUCAGUUUAAUAUCUGAUACGUCCCCUACCCGGGGACCAUAUAUUAAAUAGAUUUUUGGAACAGGGAGAUGGAAUAAGGGCUUGCUCCGUCCACUCCACGCAUCGACCUGGUAUUGCAGUAUCUCCAGGAACGGUGCACUCCCU